GGUAUACUGCGCGUGCACUUGAGCUGAAACGCUAAGUGCUAGAAACCUUAGGGUCUCAUAUAUAGACUACUUAGGGGGGGCUAUACCAAAAAGGAAUGCAGGAAAGACCAACCCCGCGUGCGUGAAUAAACAGGAGUUGCGGAGCGCGAGGGCAGUCUGAAAACUUAGGCGCUGUCCACGGUGCUGAAUCGCCACUCGGCGAGAGGACCGACGAGCCUGUGAGCGUCAUCUUUUCUUCACGACCCGUUUCAUACCUGAGCACUCCAUGAAGACGGGGAUGAUGGACGUCUACAGUUUCAGACACCAUAUUUGAGUCGGACGCCAGGAUGAAGGACUUGUGGAUUUAAACCCCUGAAUGAAGAAUCCGCCUCGGCUCGACAAAAUGUUUCUGAAGACAUCAUUUGUCACGUACUUUAACUGGCUAUCUAUUUACCGACCAACUCGAGUCCGAUUCAGCCAGUAAUCGUUCAUUCAUUCAUUCAUCAACAUGAUAUAAGAAUGAACUGAUGCAAUUGAGUUGCCCAUCAGGCAUAGGAGAUCUGUGUUUUAAUCUACUGUAAGAAGAGCAACCAUACGCAACGAGACAUGGCUCGCCUGCUUGUUUUGGUCAACUCCGUGGUCCUGUUGCUUUUUGGCAGUGACAUGUUUUUGGUAGGAGCAAACCGGCCCCCAGCUCCCGUCAAUGUGUCCGUCAUGCACCUGCGGGCCGACUCUGCAACUGUAUCCUGGGAGGUUCCAGAGGGAGAUAUAAUAAUUGGCUUCUCGAUCUCGCAACAGAGACAGGAAGGACAUAUGCAGCGAUUCAUUCGGGAAGUCAACACCACCAGCCGCUCUUGUGUCCUUUGGGACCUAGAGGAGGAGACAGACUACAUCAUUCAGGUCCAGUCAAUUGGCCUCUAUGGGGAAAGCCAAGCCAGCAAGAAGGUCCAUUUCCGCACCCUCAAGAAGACAGACCGCUUUCCCUCCAACAGCUCCAAUCAAGAUGACCCCACUGUGCAGGGCCUGGACAAGUCCCGGCAUCUACAAACAGGAGAGAUGAUCAUAAUUGUGGUGGUCUUGCUCAUGUGGGCAGCUGUUAUUGCCCUGUUCUGCCGGCAGUAUGACAUCAUCAAGGACAAUGACUCCAGCAACAGUAAGGAGAAGGCCAAGCCGUCGUCAGAGAGGAGCACGCCGGAGCACCACAGUGGUGGGCUGCUGAGGAGCAAGUUCCAUCCUUCUGUGCCGUCUAUCAACAUCAUCGAAGUUUGAGAAGAAGGAAUUCCUCUCUCUCUAAUACGAUCAAUGCAUUUCCACCUUUCUCACUGAUGAGUUAAAAAAACUGAAAACAGUGAAGUUUCUGAGGGUCAUCAUCAGUGAAUAAGUUCCAUCCUUCUGUGCCGUCUAUCAACAUCAUCGAAGUUUGAGAAGAAGGAAUUCCUCUCUCUCUAAUACGAUCAAUGCAUUUCCACCUUUCUCACUGAUGAGUUAAAAAAACUGAAAACAGUGAAGUUUCUGAGGGUCAUCAUCAGUGAAUAAGGUUGGCUGAGGCUGUCUUUGCUAAAGACAUGCAUGCACACAGUAUUUAUAGAAAAACACUAUAAACUACAAGUGCACACCAAUUCACAUGACCCUACACACCCCAAUACACACACACACACACACACACACACACACACACACACACACACACACACACACACAAUACAGUAGCUAACAGAACCUACUCCUGCAGGUUGAUAGUACAUAAACUAAUGAUAACCCAUGGUGCAGUUAACAUUGAAGACUUUGCCAGGUGCUUAGUACGUUAUUGCAAUACAAAACACACAAUCAUCUCUGGGAGGCGGGGCUUCAUGACUUUAAAUACGCAGUGUAUUUUUGAUAUUGGCAUGUGCAAUUAGACACCACAUUCCCCUGUUAUAGAUAACUCAGCUCCAAAUAAAUCAACAUUUUCCCAUUGCAAAUAGUGUUAAUAAAUGAUAUUGUCUCAUCACAAAUGUAUUGUGAUGCAGAUUGUUAAUAAGGAAAGAAAGAAAAUACAUGUAUUCAUUUGUAAGAACCACCAUGACGAUGUCAUAACGUUUUCUAGUAAUAUUAAAAUACCAUUUGCUGGUCAACAUUGUAUUUUUUCAUGUCAUAAAUAACGAACAUUAUGUCUGUACAUAGUGCAUUCAUUUACUAAAGUUGCAUGCAGGUCAUUUGCCUGUAGAAUAGCAUUUGAUGUGCAUUCAAAGUUAGAUGCCAAAAAUCAAGUAAUAAAUAAUGAUUGCAGUCCUGUGAA